ACUGCAUAUUGUACUCCUGCAAUGUAGCUAGCGAAAGUGCUGAAUGUCAGCCGGGUUGGGAGAGAAAACAACGCCACUCAGACUGCAUCUUGACCCGGCUUCGUACCGAGAAUCCCAGCGGCUGUUUAGUGUUGAUGUAAAUACAGUUGUGGUAGGCGGUAUUUUACAUCUUGUCGCUUUUCGUUCACGUUGUACAUCUACAUUUCAGUGAUGCGAAAGAGAAAUAACUCGCUCACUGUGGAUCGUCAUGACAGCUCUACCACCAACACAUUGCUGGACACCAGCACAGAACUGAACUACUGUCACAAAAGAGGGGAAGGGGUUCCCGAGCCUGAUGACCCAUUUGGCUCGAAAUCGGACAAAACAAUGCGAAAACCACUUAGAAGAUAUGGUCUAAUGGGCAGGUUGAAGAGGAUUUUUCUGUGGUUAUUGGUCAUCUAUAUAUCAGUCCCCUUCAUUGUCAAACUCUGCCCCUCCAUUCAGGCAAAGCUUGUCUUUUUAAAUUUUGUGCGCCUGCCCUAUUUCAUUGACCUGAAAAGGCCCCAGGACCAGGGUCUGAACCACACCAUUAACUUCUACCUGCAGCCAGAGCCGGGCAUCAACAUUGGUGUAUGGCACACAGUCCCAUCUCAGAUGUGGAAGGAGGCUCAGGGGAAGGACAGAGAGUGGUAUGACAGCACCUUCAAAUCCCCCAAUCCAGUCAUUAUGUAUCUGCACGGCAACGCAGGCACAAGGGGUGGCGACCAUAGAGUUCAACUGUACAAGGUCCUUAGUGGAUUAGGCUACCAUGUAGUCACAUUUGAUUAUAGAGGUUGGGGCGAUUCAGACGGGAGCCCCUCUGAAAGAGGCAUGACGUCCGACGCGUUGUUCCUCUACCAAUGGCUGAAGCUCAAGGCGGGCAGCAAGCCCCUCCAUCUCUGGGGCCACUCGCUGGGGACAGGAGUGGCCUCUAAUCUAGCCCGGCAUCUGUGUGAUCGAGGGAUACCCCCAGAUUCUUUAAUUUUGGAGUCUCCGUUCACCAACAUCCGUGAGGAGGCCAAGAGCCAUCCCUUCUCUAUGGUCUACCGAUACCUUCCGGGCUUUGAAUGGUUCUUUUUAGAUACCAUAUCAGCAAAUGACAUUCGAUUUGCCAGUGACGAAAACUGUACGACAUGGCUUCCCAGUCCAAGAGCCUGGUUGGACACAAGGUCCAGUUCAUCCCCUUUCCCUUCUCACUAGCCUACAAGCACAAGUUCAUCUACAGGAGUCCCGAGCUUCCACACAUACUCAGCAACUUCUUCGGCAUGACUCAUCCUCAAGCAUAGCUGACAAAAAACCAGCCUGUCCACUGGUUUAUCUCACAUCUCUCACACACUCAAACCUUUUCACUGUACGCUUCCUGAGAGAGGGUGUACGUAUCUCAUCAAACAGGGUAUUGUACACGCAUGGACUAAAGAUGCCUCUAAUUCUGUAUUUAGCAUUCCUUUGACACCUGAAAUACCUGCAAGAGUAAAACGGCACUGACAGAAGAGGGGCAUGGGGCAAGUGGCGUGGCUUGUUGUCAAGGUUACACAAACAGAAGACACUUGAGCACGAGACUAAUGAACUAAUUUUAAGAAACCAAGACAUACAGCACAUUGAAUGGGAAAAACUGUAUGGAGCGGUGUUUUCAAUUGCGAAGCAUUUAUGGGGAUAUAAAUGCGCCCCCAAAACUGGGAUGGAGGUUAUUGUCCCAGUCUUCAUCAUAACCUGUGCAGUCCACAGGAUCUAUCAUUACCAGUCCAUUGGUUCUUUUAACCUGUAUAGUAUAAUUAGUAUUUUUGAUGUUACAUUACAGAUCAUGAUUAAAGUAUUUCAUUUCUGAUGAGGUUUGGAUUAUGUUUCAAUCUAUUUAAACUUGAAUUAAAUAUCAUGGAUUUUACCAAAUGUUGAUUUGGCUUUUGGGCUUGUCAGUCAUUAUUUCCCUUUUAAACAUGUCACUUUAAUUUCGAAGUUUAGGACACUUCAAAGCAUACUGAUGUUUUUGAAGAUAUCUGGAAGGAAAUGUACUGACUAACUAUGCUGAACGAAUAUUGUUUUCAUUUCCAAUGUCGCAAAAAAAUACAAUUUACAAGUGUUUACUUAAAGAUAGACGCUGUUACAAAAAUGUGCAAAAAAAUUCCAAAUCACUCAGUGCUUAAACACUAUCGCCCGAUUUCUUACCAUCUGGCGAUUGUUCCUGUCCAAACUGAAAGUUGUGUGACUUAACGCAUAAUCCAUUUAUAAUGCCAGCGCAAAGGCUAAAUGAUUUGUGUUUCCUAUUUGGCUCUGUGGUAGCUGAAUUAUACACAAUUCUGACUUGUUACUCCUCACAUUCACAAUACGGUUCUGUUGGGAUUUAUAUGCUUUUGUUAUACAUUUUCUGCAUUAAUCAAAUUCUAUACAUUGUAUAAAAUGUUUUGGUAUUUUGUGAUUUACAGUUCCCGUCUAGGUAUGUCAAUGUAAUGUACAGUAUGAAAUCAAUGUAGGAUCUUGCCUUUACACAAUGUGAUAUGGUAAAAGGACACUGUAAAUGGUUAUCUGUUCUACAGCUUUGAAUAAUCCACUGACUGGACAUAAAGCAGGGGCAAUCACAUAUUUCCCUAUUGUUUUAAGAAUACAACGUAUGUAUGUAUGUACAACUGGAGAAGUAUUCUUGUUAAAUCUAGAUACUAUAAUUAUUCUGUGUAGCUCAGUUGGUUGAGCAGGAUGCUUGCAAUGCCUGGGUGGUGGGUUUGAUUCCAACAAGGGGUUAAGAUAGAAUAAUGAAGACACAUGCACUUAAAUUUUCUAAUAAGAAUGUCUGUUAAAGUACUUGGAUGUAAAAUAUGUAGUUUUAUCAAAUUAUGACAGUUUAAGCCAGAAAACUAGCUAUAUAAUGAGAAAUGUUGUUUAGGUACUGUGUUUUUCAGAAAUGCAAUUGCGAAGACCAUUUUGAUAACUUAAUCGUGAAGCUGUUUUGCAGGAUAUGGUUGCAUUAACAUUGAUGGUUGCCAUUUAGCAGAGACUCAACAUGACCUCUCAUCUUAAUUGACCAAGCCAGGCUUUGGGUAAGAUUCCAUAAGCCAUUUGAUACAUUCAGCAUCCAAUUUUAAUGUGAUGUUUGCUUUCAUUGGAUGUUGUCUGUGAAGGGGCCUUGACACAUACUGCUUGUUGAUUUCUCAUUAGACGUUUCCUUGGUAAUGUACUUGGUACAUGAUCCUGUCGGUAGCCCUUGAAAUGUAUCUUGCAGCGUGUAAAAGCGAGUGACACAGUGACAUUUGAGCUUGUAGAUUGAAUUUACCACACCAGAGACAGGUUAAGACCAUUGUUGACUCAUGAGAGUCAACAUACUGUAUUAUAUUUUUUUACAUUCCUUCUAAACCACUAAAUGCCCCACAAUUUCAAAACAUCUUAAUUUUCUUGCUAAUAUUUAAACGGUUUACAGUCCCAAAAUCGUAAAGCUGCUAUACCUGAUGGGACAUACAACUAUAAUUACAUACAUAUGCUUGUUAAGUAAUGUAAUAAACAUUAUUGAUACCCAAAGUAGUUCACCUAUUUAUUUUACCAGUCUAAUAUUUCGUUCACAGGACUAAGAAAGGCGUGAAGGAAAUGUCACUUUGGGCUCAAUAUAGACCAAAUUUCAUUGCAGUAUUUAUGUGUUAGCACAUUUUCCAAUGGCCAAAUGAACUGAGGCUGGUCUGGUAACUGUAUAAGUGUACCUUUUACUCAAAAACCAUAGGAAUGCUUACAAUUUUCAGAAUUCAAAGGGUUUUGGCAUGAGAUGAAUGUUGUAAAUAGACACAGAAACUGUACAAAUGUCAUGGUGGGUUUAAAUAAAACGAGCCACUGUUUUAACAUAAA